UCAGUAGGGAGGAAAGGUGAUGUGUUAUAGCACAUUGCAGUGACGUUACCUACAGAAGAAGGACCGGCUAACUCCGUGCCAGCAGCCGCGGUAAUACGGAGGGUCCGAGCGUUAAUCGGAAUUACUGGGCGUAAAGCGUGCGCAGGCGGUUUGUUAAGCCAGAUGUGAAAUCCCCGGGCUCAACCUGGGAAUUGCAUUUGGAACUGGCGAACUAGAGUCUUGUAGAGGGGGGUAGAAUUCCAGGUGUAGCGGUGAAAUGCGUNUAUAUCUGGAGGAAUACCGGUGGCGAAGGCGGCCCCCUGGACAAAGACUGACGCUCAGCA
rnacentral:rRNA from 1 species